rnacentral:lncRNA from 10 species
GAGUGAUCACAGUUUUUGAGAAUCAUGAUGAGGCAUUAAAGAAGAGGAGGAGUGUCUCAAGGGAGGUGAGCUGGAGGUGAUGCAAGGUGGAGAGAGGAUGCCAGACAGAUAUUUGAGCAGAACAAAGAGAGCCAACAGGAUGAAGGCAUUCCCUGGCUGGUUGGACAAGCAACUGAAGAACAGGAACAGAAGUGAAUGAAAAGAGAAGAUGCUGUGUUUGUGUUUUCUCUUGGUUAGAAUGCUGUGAGUCAGGACCUUAGCUGCUGGGUGUCCUGGGACUGCCUUCGAUGAAGAACCUGAGGCUCACCUUGCUUAAGUGACUUGAGCAGCUUCACGCAUCUUUCUGACAUUCCAGCAAUACCGGAGCAUUGACAGUUGAUAAUAGCUCUAUGUGCUACCUCUCCAAGAAACAAAUUUGCAUUUUAACCUGCCCCUUCAAUGGCUGAACUUCAAAGGGUCACUGAUGAAUGCCACAGCAGAGAAAACUGCAAAUUGGAACAGCAGAGCUGUGCCUCUGGCCAUUUCCUGGAACUACAGAGGAGCAACUUGCCCCGGUUUCCAGUGGGUGAUGUUCCUCUUCUGCCACAG